GACGAACGCUGGCGGCGUGCCUAAUACAUGCAAGUAGAACGCUGAAGAGAGGAGCUUGCUCUUCUUGGAUGAGUUGCGAACGGGUGAGUAACGCGUAGGUAACCUGCCUUGUAGCGGGGGAUAACUAUUGGAAACGAUAGCUAAUACCGCAUAACAAUGGAUGACCCAUGUCAUUUAUUUGAAAGGGGCAAAUGCUCCACUACAAGAUGGACCUGCGUUGUAUUAGCUAGUAGGUGAGGUAACGGCUCACCUAGGCGACGAUACAUAGCCGACCUGAGAGGGUGAUCGGCCACACUGGGACUGAGACACGGCCCAGACUCCUACGGGAGGCAGCAGUAGGGAAUCUUCGGCAAUGGGGGCAACCCUGACCGAGCAACGCCGCGUGAGUGAAGAAGGUUUUCGGAUCGUAAAGCUCUGUUGUAAGUCAAGAACGAGCGUGAGAGUGGAAAGUUCACACUGUGACGGUAGCUUACCAGAAAGGGACGGCUAACUACGUGCCAGCAGCCGCGGUAAUACGUAGGUCCCGAGCGUUGUCCGGAUUUAUUGGGCGUAAAGCGAGCGCAGGCGGUUUGAUAAGUCUGAAGUUAAAGGCUGUGGCUCAACCAUAGUUCGCUUUGGAAACUGUCAAACUUGAGUGCAGAAGGGGAGAGUGGAAUUCCAUGUGUAGCGGUGAAAUGCGUAGAUAUAUGGAGGAACACCGGUGGCGAAAGCGGCUCUCUGGUCUGUAACUGACGCUGAGGCUCGAAAGCGUGGGGAGCGAACAGG
rnacentral:rRNA from 1 species